rnacentral:rRNA from 1 species
AUUGAACGCUGGCGGCAGGCUUAACACAUGCAAGUCGAGCGGGGGAAGGUAGCUUGCUACCGGACCUAGCGGCGGACGGGUGAGUAAUGCUUAGGAAUCUGCCUAUUAGUGGGGGACAACAUCUCGAAAGGGAUGCUAAUACCGCAUACGUCCUACGGGAGAAAGCAGGGGAUCUUCGGACCUUGCGCUAAUAGAUGAGCCUAAGUCGGAUUAGCUAGUUGGUGGGGUAAAGGCCUACCAAGGCGACGAUCUGUAGCGGGUCUGAGAGGAUGAUCCGCCACACUGGGACUGAGACACGGCCCAGACUACUACGGGAGGCAGCAGUGGGGAAUAUUGGACAAUGGGGGGAACCCUGAUCCAGCCAGGCCGCGUGUGUGAAGAAGGCCUUAUGGUUGUAAAGCACAUUAAGCGAGGAGGAGGCUACUUUAGUUAAUACCGAGAGAUAGUGAACGUUACUCGCAGAAUAAGCACCGGCUAACUCUGUG